AGUUCCUGUUGGUUUGGAUACACAAGCCAAAUUAAAAAAGACAUCAGUGAUUUUGAACCCCAGCCUGGAGGAGAAGAGCAAAGAACAUGUUCUAAAUGGUGAGAUUGAGUGAACUCAGCCCAGGCAGCUGAAUCCAAACUCACCUCACCUGAGGCAUAUGACAAGUAGCACCAAAAGAUUGUUGAAGCCCAGAUCAUUACUCCUUGCUCUAUAAAGAAAUGCAAAACUUCUGCAGAGAUAAUGGGUGCUUGUCAGAACCCUGACUUAAAAAGACUGAAUGAGAUCAUGGGAGCCUCUGUGUGCCUUUGAUCAGGCUGCAGUUGGCCUCUGGAAAUGGGAGUGCAGCGAAUGAAAAAUCAGAGCACCUCUGGAAUCCUUCCCCAUCUCAAGGACAAAUUCUGUUUCUUCUAAGCCUCCUUUACUCUUACUUCUCAUCUUUGAUAACAACUAAUUUUGGCAGAACCCAUAUAUUGUUGAAAAUGUGUUCCUGGCGUGAAAUUAACAGUAGAGUUUAACUUAACAAAUAUCUCCCAGUCUGAAUCACUAAAUAUAGGAGAGUAUUUCCAGUGUUGGUGGCAGACCCAGUCUGCUGCACCAAGUUAAUGGAUACUGCAUGGAUUGAGGCCUAAAGAUGUGAAAACUUUAUGCCUAAUGUUUCAUUAAGUUGAUUUAUUGUAUUUUUUAAGCAUAGGUAAUGAUUUAAUGCCUAUUUUUUCAAGACUUCAUUUCCUCCCAGGGAAGUACUGAGAAUUUAGUUAUUUCUCUGAAGUGUCUUUAAACAAUAUGAAGCAGUGAUUUGGAAUAAACUAACAUUAAUGACUCUAAAGUUAUUUUUUUUAUUUCACCUGAUUACUGGAAUUUAUCAUU